AGUGAAGAUCUAGCCAGCUGGGCAGUCCCCCGGUCCUACCAAAAACACUGAGAGACGCUGGCGGAAAGUAGGUUACUCGUCUUCACGGGAACAAACCCAAGAAUGUUUUUCCCUUCAACAGUCCUCCAUGGUCUGGCUAGUAAGAUCCUAGGUUUUCUGGUCGCUGAAAUGCUCGUGCGGUCAACAGCCUCAAUCCCUCACUUGGAGUUGCGCCUUCUUCAGUGUACCAGCCAGCGGGUAUUUGUGACAUCCAUUGCGAUAUUCCUUCCUGCAUUAUCUCUGACAAACACAUUUUUUUAUUGGUUACUAGGAACUUGAAGAAAAGGAAACAGUCUUCAACAACGGUAUUUUCUCUGACUCACGUUUAGCCAAACCCUGUGCUGCCUAAGACAGGGCUCCUCCUCACAGGCUUCUAGAGAAGAAUUCUUUAGGCUGCUGCAGGAGCCUACUUAGACAUUCUAGAGUGUACAAGUCCAGGGAGCAGAGGGCUUGAAAAACCAUCCAGCGGGACUCUAUUUGACAGGCCCUUGGUGUCUCUCUGUACUCAGAACUGAUGUGAAAAGCAAGGUGCUAUCAUGAAAAAUGCUGGAAUUAAGAACAGGUCACUAAUACAGCCCCACGAUCACCAGAGGCCUGCUCACAUUUUGAAGAUGAGGAAACAGCCUGACUUUUUUUCCCUAACCAACAUAGGUGAAGUUAACGAAUGACCAGACCAGAGUCCCAACAACCUAGCUUGAUCCUGAAGCUUCGCUGUCUUCCCCUAUGGCACUAUAUUGUUUGUGUUUGCAUCAGUCAGCAAAGAUUUCUUCUAUGUGGAGGACAAUGAAGUGGCAUUAGGUGGCAUGUGGGGACUUGGGAACCUGGCGCUUGUGAUGUAAGCAGAAGCUCCCUGUCUUCCUGAGAUACUGAAACCCAGUGCAGUAGUAAAUACCCAAGAAGACCCCUCCACCCACCAGUGUCUUAUAGUCACAUUGAUUUAAAAUC